CUCCUUUGAUACUUACUGAUGUUUACAUACCAUGUAAUUAUUAUUAUCAUUGAAAAUCCCGACUUCCUUUCUUUGAACAUAAUGUCUAAACAGGAAAAAGCUAACCUUCCUGUUUGGAGAAUUGUUAGUUUCAGAAGAAAUAUAUUUUUCUCUCUUACUUGCAGUUUUCAAAGAUUUUAUUUUUAAUACAAAUGGAAAAGACAAACAAUAGGCUAUCUAAGAGGAAGGAAAACCACAUGUCUGAAACAAACAGAGUCUGCUAUGAAUAGAUAGUCUUUGCGCUAUGAAAUAACUCAUGUCAUACCUAUAUACUGACUUUAGCAUAUUGGGAAAGGAAAUGUAGACUUAUUUUUGGCACACUGUAUGUGCACAAGACAGAAAGCAAAGGUAAGGUCAGGAAGGGAAGAGAAGCCUCCUGUCAGUCUGUACAAACAGCAAGAAGGCAUCGUGCGGGAGUUGGGUUGACCCAACGAUAACGUCUAGAUGUGAUGGAAGGCCAACUAACAAAGCCAGAUUUAACAUUUCUGGUACCUGCCUGGCAUCCAGCGUUCUCUCUGGUUCUAGUCAGUGCCCACCCUGACCUUCUGGGUAAACCUCAGCCUCUAAACUUUGCUUAUUUGGCUUUUGUUCAGUUGGAAGAAAUACUGGUGGAGCAGCACCUGCAGUUCUGGUCCAGGUACAUGGAAUCUUUGGUGGCUGCCAGAAGCAGCACCGUGAGGCUUGAAGACCAAGAUGCUCAGCUCACCUCUGUGAGAGACAACACAGAAAGAAAGAACUGCAUGUGGUUGCUGUUGGCAGUACCGUACAGUGCAAAGAAACCUUGCAAAUAUUUGCUGAUUUCCCAGAGAUUUGCUGCUUUCCCAGAGAUUCGCU
rnacentral:lncRNA from 1 species